ensembl:lncRNA
GGGGGCCCCCAACCCCCAGCCCUGAUACUAACAUUUUAAAAAUAUAUAUUUGGGGCCAGCGCUGUGGUGCAGUAGGUUAAUCCCUCUGCCUGCGGCACCAGCAUCCCAUAUAGGUGCCAGUUCUGGUCCCGGCUGCUCCACUUCUGAUCUGGCUCUCUGCUGUGGCCUGGGAAAGCAGUGGAGGAUGGCCCAGGUCUUUGGGCCCCUGCACCCAUGUGGGAGACCGGGAGGAAGCUCCUGGGUCCUGGCUUAGGAUUGGCACAGCUCUGGCCAUUGCAGCCAUUUGGGGGGUGAACCAACGGAAGGAAGACCUUUUUCUCUGUCUCUCCCUCUCACUGUCUGUAACUCUACCUCUCAAAUAAAAUAAGUAAAAUCUUAAAUAUAUAUAUAUAUAUGUAUUUAUUUGAGAAGCAGGGGGCCAGGGUCAAGCAGAUGGUUUGACAGAGAGAGAGAAAGGCCCAUCCACUGGUUCACUUCUCCACAGCAGCCAGGGCUGGGCCAAGGCCAAUGCCAGGAGCCUGCAACGCAAUCCACAUCUCCCACUGCCACCCAUGUGGGAGGUAGGAAUCCAGUCACUCAGAAAGCCACUGCUGCCUCGCAGCGUGUGAGUUAGCAGGAAGCUGGAAUCAGGAGCUAGAUCUGGGAGUUGAACCCAGGGGCUCUAACAUGGUACACGAGAGUCUCAGCUAGUGUGUCAGCUGCUGGGCUAAAUGCCUACCCCCCCAAUUUUUUAUUUUUAGACUUGGAUAUGACUCAUCAGGUAGGCCUGGACACAACAGCAUCAUGGGAAUUUAUCAAGGAAAAAGAGAUCACAGCUAUUGGGUGAGGGACCAAGAGUGGUUACCCUGGGUCGCGAAUAAUGGACCCUAACUACCCAGCAGCCCAUGGACGGAGCGCUUCCCGUGUGUCGCCGCAUUCAAUCUUCAUGGUCACCAAUGAGAUAGAUUCUACUCUGCACCCAUGCUCUUAACCAUAGCGUGCGGAUGGGCUGUGUCCUGCAGGCAGUGGGGAGCCAGAGACGGUUUGAGCGGGAGGGUGAGCCCGUUGGAGCCACGUCUCGGAUGGAACACCGCCGUGUGCAAGGCCACGAAGUUCCUCUCCGCUCCUCACACCCUUCUCCUUUGUGCCAGGUCACUGCCUGUGUUCUGGUUUCCAGGAGACAGGCAGGGCUGCUGCGGGAGGGCUGCUCCGAAAACCCCCAUGCAGACGAGGAGCAGACAUCACCACUGCUCCAAGAAACGGAGCCUGUGCACCCACUGCUGCAGAAGACGGCGCUGAGCGUGGUGAGUCAUUCAUUCCUCCAUUCAUUCAUUCAUUCUCCAAGCAGGCAACACACCCGAGCAACCUCAUCUGUCAUUUUGUAUCCCAGGGAGGAGGCGUUGCGUGCACUCAUAUAACGCUGGCUGUGUGAUAAUUCUAAGAGCGCACGCUGACUGAGCGCUCAUUCUGUGUUAGGCUACACAGCGAAGCUCUUCGCUGUUUUAUUUCUUUUAGUGCUAAUGCUACUCUGUGGGGCAGGAAUGAUAUUUUAAACAUAGUAUCACUUUAUUUUCCUUGUAUUUGAAAAAGAGAGAGAGAUACAGACAGAAAUUGUCUAUCCUCUGGUUUACUCCCCAAAUGUCCACCACGGCCGGGGCUGGGCCAAGAGGCAGCCAGGAGCCUGGGACUCCAUCUGGGUCUCCCAUGUGGGUGGCAGGGACCUCAGUAUUGAGAGAGCACCUGCUGUCUGCCAGGAUGUGCAACAGCGGGAAGCUGGCUCAGAAGUGGAGAAGCCAGGACUCGAACCGGGCACUCCCAUGGGGGAUGCAGCUGUCCUAAGCGGUGACUACACCACUGCACCACACGCCCACCUCGUGUUUUUGUACCCAUUGUCGAGAUGCAGAAGCUGACGCUCAGAGGGGCACAGGUGACCUGGCCGCUGUCUUACAGAGCCCCUGGGUGGUAGGGGGGCACCCAUGCCAGGAGACCAGCGCCAAGGCUGGGCUCCACAACAUGGCACAGCUCCCUCAAAUCCUGACCCGCGCUCACGUGGGAGGGAAGGACCCGGCCCUUGCUCCUCCUCUGUGACUUAGGUACGGCAAUGAGCAUCUCUGUUUUCUGGCUGAGUGAACUGAGGCUUGCAGAAGCGAGGCCACUUAUCCCGAGGGGCUGAGCCCUCACGGAGCAGAGCUGGCUGGGAAGGCAGCAGCGUGGGCUCCGGAGGCCCCUGGUUUUCCUGGCGAGCAGAGAGCCUGGCGCUGGGGACGUGGAAGCCCCCGUCCUUGUCACCGCACUCACCACCAGCAGCACGGUCAUUCCUUGCCCUGGGCACACGUGGCUCUAGGAAACUGAUCCGGCAAGCAGACAACACUGUGCCUUCUCCACGUCCCCUGUUCUCACUCCCUGAGACACACAGAC